UACGUAGGGUGCGAGCGUUGUCCGGAAUUAUUGGGCGUAAAGGGCUCGUAGGCGGUUUGUCGCGUCGGGAGUGAAAUCCACUGGCUUAACUGGUGGCUUGCUUUCGAUACGGGCAGACUGGAGGUAUGCAGGGGAGAACGGAAUUCCUGGUGUAGCAGUGAAAUGCGUAGAUAUCAGGAAGAACACCGAUGGCGAAAGCAGUCUGCUGGGCUUAUCCUGACACUGAGAUACGAAAGCGUGGGGAGCGAACGGG
rnacentral:rRNA from 1 species